AUUUAAACCGGAUUGAAACGGUAUCCUUUUUUGUUUUCACUAACUUAAUGAAGCAGAUGCCUAAACAAAAAAGAUUUAGUGUAAAGCCGGGCUACCA
rfam:Pedobacter ginsenosidimutans strain KACC 14530 contig26, whole genome shotgun sequence.